GAUGAACGCUGACAGAAUGCUUAACACAUGCAAGUCUACCAAGAAUCACUUCGGUGAGGAAUGGUGGCGGACGGGUGAGUAACGCGUAAAUAAUCUGCCCUUUAGACUGGGAUAUCCUUUGGAAACGAAGGUUAAUACCGGAUAUUAUGAGAUGGACGCAUGUUCAACUUAUGAAAGCUAAAUGCACUAGAGGAGGAGUUUGCGUCCCAUUAGCUAGUUGGUGAGGUAAAGGCUCACCAAGGCCACGAUGGGUAGCCGGCCUGAGAGGGUGAACGGCCACAAGGGAACUGAGACACGGUCCUUACUCCUACGGGAGGCAGCAGUGGGGAAUAUUGGACAAUGGACCAAAAGUCUGAUCCAGCAAUUCUGUGUGCACGAUGAAGGUCUUCGGAUUGUAAAGUGCUUUCAGUAGGGAAGAAAAAAAUGACGGUACCUACAGAAGAAGCGACGGCUAAAUAUGUGCCCGCAGCCGCCGCGGUAA
rnacentral:rRNA from 1 species